UGAACCAGUACCGUGAGGGAAAGGCGAAAAGAACCCCUGUGAGGGGAGUGAAAUAGAACCUGAAACCGUCUACGUACAAGCAGUGGGAGCCUCCUUUGUGGGGUGACCGCGUACCUUUUGUAUAAUGGGUCAGCGACUUAAUGUUAGUAGCAAGGUUAACCGCAUAGGGGAGCCGUAGGGAAACCGAGUCUUAACUGGGCGUGUAGUUGCUAGCAUUAGACCCGAAACCGAGUGAUCUAGCCAUGGGCAGGUUGAAGGUUGAGUAACAUCAACUGGAGGACCGAACUCACUAACGUUGAAAA
rnacentral:rRNA from 1 species